UUUAUCUAACCCUGACAGCUAAGCAAGAGGAAGAUGGCCAGUCCUAGGUGCUCAGUUCGUUAGGCUGUCUACAUCCCCCUCUCUAUUUCGUUAGAUUACUUUACCAGCUCAGCUAGAGGACGCUUUGGAUAUAGUCAGUGGGGAGUAAGUAUGUUAGUAUGGACCGUUGUAAACAGUACCUUUGAGAUGUUUUAUAUAAUUCCAAGUCGGAAUUAUGGUUGAUGCUAUUUAUUAAGAGUUUGUAAUAAGUUUAUAACUUAUUAUUUUGGUUAGUAGUUGUAACUUGUUUCAUACCAUCACCUGUUAAAGAUCCUUGUGGUGUAAAGGGGUUGAGUAUUUAUAUUGCUAAAUCCAGGUUGUGCAUGUUAAAGUUGAUUUGUGACUCCUCAAUCUAGACCCCGGAUUGGGAGGGCGUCACAGUUGGUAUCAGAGCUACAGGUUUUGGUCCCUGAAACAAGUUAUAAUAGGCAGGCCUUAGGAGAACCACAUAAGUUAAUUGUGCGUUCCCAACCCAUAUAGGGUUCAGUUGAGAUUAUUGGAUAUAGUCUUAACGAGUUAAGUUUAUAAGAGUAGAAUAGCGUGUCUGAGUUAGAGUCGAAGACGUUUAGAUGAGCGUCAUUGACUUGUGAUGCCAAGGCUAGGCUUAUAAGGUGUAUAAGUUGGCCAGGUGGAUGGAAUAUGUGACUUGUAGUUGUUGUAUCUCUAUACCAGUAGGAUUGGAGUUACUUGAGUUGGUGCCGAGUCAUCAAGAUGACCCAUAUUAUCCUAGAUUUGUUUUGCUGGUUGUAGUAGUUGGUUUGCAGCUGGUGACACUUAUGGAAUAUUUCUCAGUUUUUCCCCUUAUUUGAUCAUGUAGCCACAUUAUUGUGUUGUCUUUCAUUUCAAACUUGUUUUUGUAACCCUGAUUAUCGUUAUAACUACCUAUGCAUUUCUUUUCAUAACAUUGUUGCACCAUACUGUUCCUUUCACAUCAGUUUCAGAUAAUACCUAUGCUUAAUACCUAUGUUUCAGAAUAAUACCCUGAACUCUUACCUUAUGAUUUCUAUGAUAUGGCAAGCAACUUAUGUGGUAAUAGAGCUGCAUGUGCUAAAAGUUUAAAAUGUUGGAAUUAUAUAUAUAAGGUGGAUAAGAAGAGAUUGUUUUAUGAUAUAUUGCCAUGUUAGCAUGUUGCCUAAUAGUAGGUUGCUUGUCUAUUCAUCAGAAAAAUGUCAACCACACCAACAAACCCAGAUGAGGGUAAUCAGAAUCAAGGUCGGGAUCAAGAAGACCCUACCAUGACUCAAAUUCUCCGUCUUCUUCAGCUGCAAACCGCUGCUUUGAACCAGCAGCCCCAAGCUCCUCGAGUCGGAAGCUUUAAAGCUUUCCAAUCCCUCCACCCACCUGAAUUUAGGGGAACUACAGAUCCAAUUAAAGCGAAAACCUGGAUAAAGGAAACAGAAAAAAGCUUUUGCUUUAACGGAGGUGGGUGAAAAUAAGAAAACGGAAUAUGCAAGUUUCUACCUGAAAGACGAGGCAAAUUUUUGGUGGGAGUCCACCAAGACCUUAGAAGGAAAUGGUAUUAUUACGUGGGAAAGGUUUACGGAGUUAUUUUUGGAAAAGUAUCUACCUCAAUACUUACAAGAUCAGUUGGAAGUUAAGUUUUUAGAAUUGAAACAGGAAGGUAUGACUGUGGCAGAAUAUGAGGCAAAGUUUUCAGAAUUGGCAAGGUUUGUGCCAGAAUAUGUGAAUACGGAACACAAAAAGGCAAAACGGUUUCAACAAGGACUUAAGUCAUGGAUACGUAGUCGAGUGGCAGUUUUUGAGCUUCAAACAUAUGCUGCAGUGGUUCAGAAGGCUAUGAUUGUGGAAGGUGAAAGUGAGAUGUCAAAAAGAGAGAACGAUAGUAAGAAAAGAAAAUUUGAAAGGUCUGAAGAAAGUCAAGGGCAAUCAAGUGGAAAGUCUAAAGGUAAAUUCAGGAAAGGUUCUGACAACCCAACCAAUAAAGGAUUUCAAGGAUCCAAGCCCGGAAAUGUUGGACAGAGUAACCGUUUCUCCGGUCAGAAUCAGCAACAGAAAGGUAAUAGACCUCCAAGUCAGUGGGGAGUAAGUAUGAUAGUAUGGACCGUUGUAAACAGUACCUUUGAGAUGUUUUAUAUAAUUCCAAGUCGGAAUUAUGGUUGAUG
rnacentral:lncRNA from 1 species